rnacentral:rRNA from 1 species
GAUGAACGCUAGCUACAGGCUUAACACAUGCAAGUCGAGGGGUAGCAGGGUAGCAAUACCGCUGACGACCGGCGCACGGGUGAGUAACACGUAUCCAGCCUUCCCAUAACUCGGGGAUAGCCUUUCGAAAGAAAGAUUAAUACCCGAUAGUACUUAACAAAGGCAUCUUUGAUAAGUUAAAGAUUUAUUGGUUAGGGAUGGGGAUGCGUUCCAUUAGAUAGUUGGUGAGGUAACGGCUCACCAAGUCUUCGAGAGAUAUGGGUUCUGAGAGGAAGGGACCCCACAUUGGUACUGAGACACGGACCAAACGCCUACGGGAGGCAGCAGUGAGGAAUAUUGGUCAAUGGGCGAGAGCCUGAACCAGCCAAGUAGCGUGAAGGAUGAAGGUCCUAUGGAUUGUAAACUUCUUUUAUAGUAGAAUAAAGUGAUCCACGUGUGGAUUUUUGUAUGUAUACUAUGAAUAAGGAUCGGCUAACUCCGUGCCAGCCGCCGCCGUAAGAC